UCCAUUAGACAGAAUUGGACAACAAUGUGGCGUCUGCCAUUGGCCAGGGGAGGCAGACGGCGCUCUGAUUGGCCGGGCCCGCGCCCGGGGAGCCCCGCAUUCUACAGUGUCCGAAAGAUUCGAAACUCCAAAAGCUCCACUGAGUGCCUCCGGGAGGGGAGGGGCACGCCAGGGAAGGAGUGGAGAAAAGUAGGCUAGAAGGAGCGUUGAAAAUAUCGUGACAAGUAGUUUCCGUGCGCCCGAGAGCGUGUGAAUUGCGCCUAAUUACCGUGUCCGAUCCUCUUGCUCGAAAGACGCGCAUUCGUCUGUAGGUCCUUCCGGGCCUGAAACAAUGUCACCACGGACUCCCAAGAGUAGUUUUAACUUUCACCUUCUCCCCUACUGACGUCACGGCCUUGAGGAACAGUUCGAUCUGCAGAGGAGGAAAUGCCACUCGCUGGAGCCUGAGAAUGAGUUUGGGAGAGAGCAAGGGGUCAGUUCUGCCGGCUUCC